AUUGAACGCUGGCGGCAGGCCUAACACAUGCAAGUCGAGCGGAUGAAGGGAGCUUGCUCCUGGAUUCAGCGGCGGACGGGUGAGUAAUGCCUAGGAAUCUGCCUGGUAGUGGGGGAUAACGUCCGGAAACGGGCGCUAAUACCGCAUACGUCCUGAGGGAGAAAGUGGGGGAUCUUCGGACCUCACGCUAUCAGAUGAGCCUAGGUCGGAUUAGCUAGUUGGUGUGGUAAAGGCCUACCAAGGCGACGAUCCGUAACUGGUCUGAGAGGAUGAUCAGUCACACUGGAACUGAGACACGGUCCAGACUCCUACGGGAGGCAGCAGUGGUGAAUAUUGGACAAUGGGCGAAAGCCUGAUCCAGCCAUGCCGCGUGUGUGAAGAAGGUCUUCGGAUUGUAAAGCACUUUAAGUUGGGAGGAAGGGCAGUAAGUUAAUACCUUGCUGUUUUGACGUUACCAACAGAAUAAGCACCGGCUAACUUCGUG
rnacentral:rRNA from 1 species